GAGCUUGUCUUGUAACGGUUAGAUCAAUCAUCGAUGGAUCCCUCCCUCUGCUAUUGUUGUGCAAAAGGCAUGGAGUCUUCCCUGCAAAUCAAACGUCAUGUUGACUGGCUGCGGCUGGAGAAAUUCAUAAAGUUGAGAAUUACGUAGAAUCCUAGAGACUAGAGCAGAGCUUUCUUGCGCCCAAAAUUUCUCAACCCCCUUCCUCACUUAUUAGAAGUCGCGUGAAGUGCUACCAGAGAAGCAUAAGCACCAUCAGUAAUCUUCAACAGCGCCUCAUGUCUCCCCUUCUCCGCAACCACACCAUUCUUCACCACCGCAAUGACAUCAGCCCCUUUAAUGGUGGAAAGCCGGUGGGCAACCACCACCGUGGUUCUAUUCACCAUGACUCUGUCCAGAGCGUCCUGCACCACGCGUUCCGACUCUGCAUCCAGAGCGCUGGUGGCUUCGUCGAGCAGCAGGACUUUUGGGUCCUUGAGAAUGGCCCUGGCGAUGGCGAUCCGCUGCUUCUGGCCGCCGGAGAGCUGCACCCCUCGUUCGCCGACGGAGGUGUCGUAGCCCUGAGGCAAGCUGGAGAUGAAGUUGUGGGCGUUGGCCGCCUUCGUGGCGGAGAUGAUCUCGUCUUCGGUCGCGCUGCCCUGCUUGCUGUAGGCUAUGUUGGCGCGGAUGGUGUCGUUGAAGAGGACGGGCUCUUGGCUCACCAAACCCAUCUGUUGUCUCAGCCAGCUUAUUUUGAAGCUUCGGAUGUCGACUCCGUCCAGCAGUACGCGUCCGGAGUCGGGAUCGUAGAACCUCUCUAUUAAGCUGAUUACCGUUGACUUCCCACUCCCACUUUCCCCGACGAGAGCUACUGUCUGCAGACAAAACCACAUCAAUGUGUGAGAAAGAGAGAGAGGGAGAGAGUUAGUUUUCGACACUGGAUGUGAUCGAUUCUGGCUUGGAUUGAGCAGAUCGAAGGUGGAUUUAUGGCGAAAUGGGUGUUACCGCGGCCGGGUUUUGCUGUUCUCAUUGUUUCUUUUUGAUCGAGCGGUGUAUUAGCCUUACUUUCUGCUUUUCCGCCACUGUUGUUCUGUUGUUUUUACAGAGUUUUGCUGCAGGUUAAUAGAGAUCAAUGGAAAAUUUUCAUGGAAGCCUUCAAGCAGCGUCAGGCAGGGUAAAUUUUUCACGGAAAGAAGCUUUGAUUGGUGGGCGUAGUAAAGUUUGAUGAAAACUGGGAGAUGUUAGAAUUGCAAUGAGAUCCCACGUGAUGAAGAGCAUGAAAUCAGUAAAUCCAACGCAGGCCUUCUUUGUGACGGGACAAAUUUGAAGCUUGUGUGUGGUGGGUCUGAGAAAUGUUGUAUUCCAUGAUAGUGAAGAAUCAUCUACUGGCAAGAGGACAAGGAAGAACAAGAUAAUGGUUGUGGAGUUGUUUGCCUUGAGGAUGCUGAGGACGACAACCUGGAAGGAUCUGCACUAGUUUCACAAAUGACAGAGGGCAUCCUACCCUGGGGUUUAAAGUGUAGAAAUGUUAAAUGGUGUAAUUGUUAGAAAAGGCAAAGAAGAAUAGGUAGAUUUUUGAGGGAGAUGUUUAAGUCUCAAGUUGUUGGAAUCAGCAACAUUUUUGGCCUCGUAAACACAAUAUUUUUCCAUGGUUUCAAAGUUCUAACUAGGACAGUCUUGUAGGUUAAAUCAUGUCUUUGUUUUUUUUUUUUUUUUAUUGGUAGGAUUCUUUAUGAAGGGUAUGUGUUGUUUAUUUCAGUAGAUACUAUUUACUAAGGUUCAAGUAUUUGGGUAUUUUUCUGGGCACUUCUUAUAGCUGGGAUAUUUGUAUGGGUUUUGGGGUAUCGAUAUCUCUGUUGGGUGCUGCUUCUAGGGCAUUCUCAAUUUUUUUAUGUGCUCAGCUUUUGCCCA